CCUGGUGGCCAUUGCGAGGAGCCUGAACCCGAUCCCAUCCCGAACUCGGCCGUUAAACUCCUCUGCGCCAAUGGUACUUCGUCUCAAGACGCGGGAGAGUAGGUCGCUGCCAGGCCUGCAAAGCACAAAUUACGCCCAGAUCC
rnacentral:rRNA from 1 species